rnacentral:rRNA from 1 species
AUGUUCCUACGGGGGGCAGCAGUGGGGGAUAUUGCACAAUGGGGGGAACCCUGAUGCAGCGACGCCGCGUGGGUGAAGGAGCGUUUCGGCGCGUAAAGCCCUAUUGGCAGGGAAGAAGAUGACGGUACCUGACCAAGAAGCCCCGGCUAACUACGUGCCAGCAGCCGCGGUAAUACGUAAGGGGCAAGCGUUAUCCGGAUUUACUGGGUGUAAAGGGGGCGCAGACGGCAAUGCAAGCCAGGAGUGAAAGCCCGGGGCCCAAC